GAGCAAAGGGGCCGGAUAAAGUGCCGAUCUUUGCAUUGAAGGUUGGCGGCCGCGAUUGCAGUUCUCCAUGCCGCUCAGAUUUUCCUAUGUUUUGUGACGGCCUCGAACAAGCUGCUACAUC
rfam:Oryza nivara chromosome 12, whole genome shotgun sequence.